ACAACAUGUGCAGACUGAUUUAAAUAUAAAUAAUGCAGAUGACAGCUCAGUUACAGACUCAUAAUGUCACUUAACAGCACACACUUCAGCCCAUAAACAAACAAAACAGACAAACGCUGUGAUAAGAUGCAGAACUGGAAGAUGUCACGCGACUCACCUAAUAAGGGAUGUUUGAAGUGUUACACUCAGCCAACAGAAGCAUGUGGACAGACAUUGACUGUAAUGAAGGACAUCUGCUGAUGCACAGGCAGAAGUAUAACCCCUGCUGGACAUUGUGCUGGAGCUCAGGGAGGACACCACGAUCCCCCACACCUUCUCACUCACACCAGACCAUUCACUCAUAUCACAGAGAUCUGGCUGGACUUGAACCAGCAACCUCUGAAACCAUGAGGCAGCGCUUUUACCUCUGAGCCACAGUUCUCUUGUCUGAACAUGUGCAGGAACUUAUAUUUUACUAUUCUCCCUGUCAUUUUACAAUAAACCCAAAACAUUUUGAAC
ensembl:lncRNA